AACGAACGCUGGCGGCAGGCUUAACACAUGCAAGUCGAGCGCCCCGCAAGGGGAGCGGCGGACGGGUGAGUAACGCGUGGGAAUCUACCCAUCUCUACGGAAUAACGCAUGGAAACGUGUGCUAAUACCGUAUACGUCCUUCGGGAGAAAGAUUUAUCGGAGAUGGAUGAGCCCGCGUUGGAUUAGCUAGUUGGUGGGGUAAAGGCCUACCAAGGCGACGAUCCAUAGCUGGUCUGAGAGGAUGAUCAGCCACACUGGGACUGAGACACGGCCCAGACUCCUACGGGAGGCAGCAGUGGGGAAUAUUGGACAAUGGGCGCAAGCCUGAUCCGGCCAUGCCGCGUGAGUGAUGAAGGCCCUAGGGUUGUAAAGCUCUUUCACCGGUGAAGAUAAUGACGGUAACCGGAGAAGAAGCCCCGGCUAACUUCGUGCCAGCCGCCGCGGUAACAC
rnacentral:rRNA from 1 species